GCCUGGGUGGCUCAGUUGGUUGAGCGACUGACUUUGGCUCAGGUCAUGAUCUCACGGUUUGUGAGUUCAAGCCCCGCGUCAGGCU
rfam:Felis catus isolate Cinnamon breed Abyssinian chromosome C1, whole genome shotgun sequence.